rnacentral:rRNA from 1 species
CCUACGGGCGGCUGCAGUGGGGAAUAUUGCACAAUGGGCGCAAGCCUGAUGCAGCCAUGCCGCGUGUGUGAAGAAGGCCUUCGGGUUGUAAAGCACUUUCAGCGGGGAGGAAGGCGGUGAGGUUAAUAACCUCAUCGAUUGACGUUACCCGCAGAAGAAGCACCGGCUAACUCCGUGCCAGCAGCCGCGGUAAUACGGAGGGUGCAAGCGUUAAUCGGAAUUACUGGGCGUAAAGCGCACGCAGGCGGUCUGUCAAGUCGGAUGUGAAAUCCCCGGGCUCAACCUGGGAACUGCAUUCGAAAGUGGCAGGCUAGAGUCUUGUAGAGGGGGGUAGAAUUCCAGGUGUAGCGGUGAAAUGCGUAGAGAUCUGGAGGAAUACCGGUGGCGAAGGCGGCCCCCUGGACAAAGACUGACGCUCAGGUGCGAAAGCGUGGGGAGCAAACAGGAUUAGAUACCCGAGUAGUC